rnacentral:rRNA from 1 species
UCCGUAGGUGAGACCUGCGGAGGGAUCAUUACACAAAGAUAUGAAGGUAGGGUACUGGCAACAGUGCUCUGCUGAAAUAUUUUCACCCAUGUCUUUUGCGCACUUUUUGUUUCCUGGGCGAGUUUGCUCGCCACCAGGACCCCCAUAUGAACCUUUUUUGUUUUUGCACUCAGCGUCAGUACAAUAAUUUAAUCUAUUAAAACUUUCAACAACGGAUCUCUUGGUUCUGGCAUCGAUGAAGAACGCAGCGAAAUGCGAUACGUAGUGUGAAUUGCAGAAUUCAGUGAAUCAUCGAAUCUUUGAACGCACAUUGCGCCCUUUGGUAUUCCAAAGGGCAUGCCUGUUCGAGCGUCAUUUGUACCCUCAAGCUUUGCUUGGUGUUGGGCGUCUUAUUGUCUCUCCGUCUCGGGGAGACUCGCCUUAAAACAAUUGGCAGCCGGCCUACUGGUUUCGGAGCGCAGCACAAAUUUGCGCUUGCAAUCAGCCAAGGGCGGCAUCCAUGAAGCCUUUUUUCUCUCACAUUUUGACCUCGGAUCAGGUAGGGAUACCCGCUGAACUUAAGCAUAUCAAUAAGCGGAGGA